GAUGAACGCUGGCGGCGUGCCUAAUACAUGCAAGUCGAGCGAACAGACGAGGAGCUUGCUCCUCUGACGUUAGCGGCGGACGGGUGAGUAACACGUGGAUAACCUACCUAUAAGACUGGGAUAACUUCGGGAAACCGGAGCUAAUACCGGAUAAUAUAUUGAACCGCAUGGUUCAAUAGUGAAAGACGGUUUUGCUGUCACUUAUAGAUGGAUCCGCGCCGCAUUAGCUAGUUGGUAAGGUAACGGCUUACCAAGGCAACGAUGCGUAGCCGACCUGAGAGGGUGAUCGGCCACACUGGAACUGAGACACGGUCCAGACCCCUACGGGAGGCAGCAGUAGGGAAUCUUCCGCAAAGGGCGAAAGCCUGACGGAGCAACGCCGCGUGAGUGAUGAAGGUCUUCGGAUCGUAAAACUCUGUUAUUAGGGAAGAACAAAUGUGUAAGUAACUAUGCACGUCUUGACGGUACCUAAUCAGAAAGCCACGGCUAACUACGUG
rnacentral:rRNA from 1 species